rfam:Asian citrus Psyllid, Diaphorina citri - Florida Strain, whole genome shotgun sequence.
GCCUCGGUGGUGUAGUGGUCAAGACGCUCGCCUGGUAAACAGGAGGGCGUAGGUUCAAUCCCAGCCGAGGUA